AAGUCGUAACAAGGUUUCCGUAGGUGAACCUGCGGAAGGAUCAUUCAUAAUAAAGUGUUUUAUGGCACUUUUUAAAAAAAUCCAUAUCCACCUUGUGUGCAAUGUUAAGGUCUCAUCAGUCAAGUAAUAUUUUCUGAUGGGAUUUUUUAUACAUCAACUCAUUCUUGAACUAAUUUGUCUGAAAAAUAUUAUGAAUACUUAAUUCAAAAUACAACUUUCAACAACGGAUCUCUUGGCUCUC
rnacentral:misc_RNA from 1 species